GUUGCUUCAGUUUUUUUGCUUCUGCUUGCUUGCUUGCUAUGCUCUUGAAGUUGUGUGGCCUGUAAGAUGAAGCAGUUACUACAAUUGGUGAAUGGUCUAGCUGUUGCUUAUCCCUUUUCUGUUUCUGACUUUGAAUUGAUUGUGUUUGUUGUAGUGUCUGCACCACCGCCGAAUGCAUGUUCCGGCAGUCCACGCAUCGAUCACUUGCAAAUUAAAAAGGCAUGAACGCACUAAACAGAAAUUCUGUGUAGAUGAUUCUUGUAUAUGGCAGUGGCACACGCGCUGGUUGAUGAAGCCGCUGGGCCGGAAGGACCUCUCAUUGCCAUGCUAAUGAGUAUCACGACGAACAUGGCCCCCACCUCAAUGCCUCCCUGUCGGCGGUGAGGUCUGGCCGGAUCUGUACGACCCGCAAUAUUAGUAAAGAAAAAGAAUAGCUUGAUCGUUCUAUGACUGUCGUGGAUAGGUAAUUUGCAUCAGAGGUCUAUAGGAUCUCCGCCAUUAGUUUCCCAUUAGAAAAUUGAGUUACUAAAUUAAGGAAGAUGUCCAAAGAGAGGUAAUUGAUGGCAUGAUAUGCAUCAGAAGAUCCUCAUCACUGAAGUAGUACUCCACCAGUCCACCUACAGUUUUGGAACAUAUAAACACGGCAUCAAAGUGCUACCUGGCACCAAAUAAAGAGUUCAGGUCAGGGUGUUAUACUGCAGCUAAGCAGUAUAGUCUGAAUUUCUAAGUUUGAGGAGGAUUUCAGUGUUUCUAAAGAAAGGGACAAGGAUCAGGGCUAUAAGAUUGUUGAAAGACUCAGAGACAUGUACCAUGAAUCGGUUCCGCAAGCUGCGGCACACAUGGUCUGCCUCCGUGUCGUCCUACCUGCUUUAGGGCCCUCUACUUCUUCCCCCAAGAUUGCCAUUAUGAUUAACAAAUAUGACAAGAGCAAUUUAAUUGGUGACACAUCAUAUUUAUUCUGCAACUGCAUGUGAAUUCUCAUCUUGCGCCUACCUCUUUUGCUUACCAGUGAAGAUGGAGAGCUUUAGGCAAAAAAAGAAAGAAAAAAAACUAGCACGUGAUCUAUGGAGAAUAAUUUUGACAGCAACUCCAACUAUGCAAUGGAGUACACUUGAUGCGAUCAAUUCUGGUGUGUGUGUGUGUG